rnacentral:rRNA from 1 species
AUACGUAGGGAGCGAGCGUUGUCCGGAAUUACUGGGUGUAAAGGGAGCGUAGGCGGGAGUGCAAGUCAGAUGUGAAAUACAUGGGCUCAACCCAUGGGCUGCAUUUGAAACUGCAUUUCUUGAGUGACGUAGAGGGAAGCGGAAUUCCUGGUGUAGCGGUGAAAUGCGUAGAUAUCAGGAGGAACACCGGUGGCGAAGGCGGCUUACUGGGCUUUUACUGACGCUGAGGCUCGAAAGCGUGGGGAGCAAACAGGAUUAGAUACCCUGGUAGUCCACGCUGUAAACGAUGAUUACUAGGUGUGGGGGGACUGACCCCUUCCGUGCCGCAGUUAACACAAUAAGUAAUCCACCUGGGGAGUACGGCCGCAAGGUUGAAACUUAAAGGAAUUGACGGGG